GAUGAACGCUGGCGGCGUGCUUAAUACAUGCAAGUCGAGCGAACAGACGAGGAGCUUGCUCCUCUCACGUUAGCGGCGGACGGGAGAGUAACACGUGGAUAACCUACUUAUAUUACGGGGAUAACUUCGGGAAACCGGAUCAUAUACCGUAUAAUAUCUUGAACCGCAUGGUUCAAUAGAGAAAUACGGUUUUGCUGUCACUUAUAGAUGGAUCCGCGCCGUAUUAGCUAGUUGGGAAGGUAACGGCUUACCAAGGCAACGAUGCGUAGCCGACCGGAGAGGGGGAUCGGCCACACGGGAACUGAGACACGGUCCAGACUCCUGCGGGAGGCAGCAGUAGGGAAUCUUCCGCAAUGGGCGAAAGCUUGACGGAGCGACGCCGCGUGAGUGAUGGAGGUCUUCGGAGCGUAAAACUCUGUUAUUAGGGAAGAACAAAUGUGUAAGUAACUAUGGACGUCUUGACGGUACCUAAUCAGAAAGCCACGGCUAACUACGUG
rnacentral:rRNA from 1 species